GGAAGUAAAAAGUCGUAACAAGGUUUCCGUAGGUGAACCUGCGGAAGGAUCAUUAAAAAAUAUCACAUUUGUUUGUGAUUUAAUAAUCAUCCUACCCUUUGUGAAUUUGUUUUUGUUUUGAAAUUUAUGUUGUCUAUCCCCUGGAUUAUGAAAGAAAAGUUGUAAAAAGACUUUUUUUUUCAUUCUAGGGAAUAGGCUUUCAUAGACAUUUCUUUAAAUUAAACUUUUUGUAUUCAUUUGUCUAAAAUUUAUUUUUUAAAUAGUUUAAAAAAACAACUUUUUGACAAUGGAUCUCUUGGUUCUCGCAAACGAUGAAGAACGCAGCAAAAAUGCGAUAAGUAAUGUGAAUUGCAGAAUACGUGAAUCAUCAAAUUUUCGAACGCAUAUUGCACUUUUUUUAGUUUACUAAAAAAGUAUGUCUGUUUGAGUAUCAGUAAAAAUAUUCUCAUAAAAACUAUUGUUUUUAUGGUUAUGAGUGUUUUACAACGAUAACAAGUUGUUUCAUUUUAAAUUGAUUUUUUUUUAAUAAGCCAAUUUGGUUUUAUUUUUAAAAAUUGGAUAAAAUUUUUCCCGUAAAAAAGGAAUAAACUUUUCAGUUUUAAAGUUAAAAACUUAAAUUGACCUACAAAAAAGGAAAUUUAAUUAUAAAACUAACUUGAUCUCAAAUCAGAUAAGAGUACCCGCUGAACUUAAGCAUAUCAAUAAGCGGAGGAAAAGAAACUAACAAGGAUUCCCUUAGUAAACGGCGAGUGAAGCGGGAAGAGCUCAAAUUUGAAAAUCUUCAAGGUUCUACCUUGACGAAUUGUAGUUUAAAGAAGUGUUUUCUGUUAGUGGAGUGGCAAAAGUUCUUUGGAAUAGGACAUCAUAGAGGGUGAGAAUCCCGUAUUUGGUCAUUCCUUCUAGCUUUGUGAUACACUUUCAAAGAGUCGGAUUGUUUGGGAAUGCAGUCCAAAAAUGGGUGGUAAAUUUCAUCUAAAAGCUAAAUAUUGGCGAGAGGACCGAUAGCGAACAAGUACCGUGAGGGAAAGAUGAAAAAGAACUUUGAAAAAGAGAGUUAAAACAGUACGUGAAAUUGUCAAAAAGGGAAGCGUUUGACACCAGUGUUGUUUUUCCGAAAAUCAAUUAUAAAGUGUUUUUGUUUUCUGAGGAGUGAUGACUUCAUCGGCUUCCUUCUCUCUUCACGAAACUUUUGUAAUGCACUUUUCGGUUAACAAGUCAACAUCAAUUUCUUUUGUUGUAAAAGAGUAUUCGGAAGGUGGCUUUCUUUUCGGAG
rnacentral:misc_RNA from 1 species